GCCGAGGUGGCGAAACUGGCAGACGCAGUAGACUCAAAAUCUACCGGGGUUAACACCCCGUGGGGGUUCAACUCCCCCUCUCGGCACCA
rnacentral:tRNA from 1 species